rnacentral:rRNA from 1 species
AUGGAUAUUACUUCUACUUUGUUUGCUGCUCAAUCUAUGGAUCUUAACUCCCGGUCAGCUGCAGAAGCCAGUCUUAAGCUAUUCCAGGAGCAAAAUCUUUCCGCUUUUCUCCUGUCCUUGUCAGCAGAGCUCUCAAGUGAUGCAAAGCCACAAGCGUCUAGGGUACUUGCUGGUAUUAUUCUUAAGAACACAUUGGACUCGAAGGAUUCUGAAAAGAAGGAAUUACUGAUUCAACAAUGGGUGAACCUUGAUACAUCUGUCAAAAUGAAGAUCAAAAAGUCUUUGCUUACAACACUGGGAUCUUUGGUGGCUGUUGCAAGGCACGUCACAUCACAAGUCAUUGCAAAGGUUGCAUCCAUCGAGGUACCCCGCGGGAAAUGCCCUGAUGACCUCAUUGGCAUUUUACUAGUCAACUUAAAGGAGCAGGCUGCAUCUGCUCCACUGAAGCAAGCAACUCUAGAAGUGUUUGGGUAUGUAUUUCAGGACAUUCAUCCUGAGAACUUGGACCAGGAUCAAGCAAGUGUUAUUCUGACUGCUGUGGUCCAGGUAGCGAGUGAGGCACAUCUAAGCUCUGAAGUACGUCUCACAGCAGUUAAAGUUCUAUACAGUGCUCUUGAUUUUGCUUAUAGCAGCUUUGCAAAAGAUAGAUCGAGAAGUGACCUUAUGAAUUCAAUUAUCGGUACUGCUGUAUCUGAAGAUAAGAACAUCAGAGCCGCAUCAUUUGAAUGCCUUGUUGCAAUAGCAUCCAAAUAUUAUAUGCACUUGAAGCCUUAUAUCUCAGGCAUAUUGAAACUGACAGCUAGAGCUAUGGAAGAUGAUAAAUCAGUGGCACUUCAAGCUAUCGAGUUCUGGUGUAAUAUUUGCACUUGUGAACAGGUUGAAGUCCAAGAAACUUAUGCAGAAUUUGAUGAUGCUAAUUCUGUUGUGAACUAUCAUUUCAUUGAAUCGACAUUCCGUGAACUUGUUCCAAUGCUUCUAGGAACUCUGUUGAAGCAAGAGGAAGAUAAAGAGCAAAAAGGUAGUGUAAGGAAAGUUUCCACGAGUGGUAUGGUGUGCCUUGGCCUCAUUGCUAGAAUUCUUGGGGAUGAAGUUCUUCCUCAUAUGGUGAAAUUCAUUGAUGAUAACAUCGAGGGGCCCGAAUGGUAUUGCCGCAGGGCAGCUACUUUUGCACUAGUUUCUAUUCUUGUAGGACCCUCUGUUGAGGAACUUGUUCCCAUGGUACGGAAGAAGCUUGAUUGCUUGCUCAAUAGAAUGGAAGACGCAGACAAGGAGGAAAAAGCCACCAUUGCACGGACUAUUGGGCAGAUAUUUGAGAUUUUGCAUUCUCCAGCCAGUGCAAAUAUAAUCAUAACUAAUAAAAAUUGUCAUCGUAUCAUGAAUGUGCUGCUAGAAAGUAGUAAAGGUUAUCCAGAAGUGACUGAAGAAGUCUUUCGAGCCAUAUAUUUUCUUGCGCAAGGAUACCAAGAUGAAGAGUUGUUGCCUGAGCUUGCACCUUAUAUCGAACGAGCUAUCAAUGCUCUCAUUUCUGCUUUGGAUUGUGCUGAUAAGACAAAUUUCAGUCUUCGCACGUCUGCUUAUAGAGCACUGAAUGAAAUUGUGAGAGUCAGCAAGAUACAUGAAAAUCCCGACAUUAUAGGAAAACUAUUGUAUGAUAUCAUGGAAAGAUUGAACGGAACAUUUGAUUUCCCAAUACAAUCAGCAGACGACGUUAGGAAUCAAAACGAUCUACAGGCUUCUCUGUGUGUUCUAUUGCGGAUCAUCAUCCAUAAAUUGAGUAACUUAGUUGACAACUCCAUUAUUCCUGUCGCUGCUGACAAUUUGAUGCUCCUGUUUUUCCGUGUGUUCAAUCACCGCACUUGUGGUUCUACUGUACAUGACAAGGCUAUGCUAGCUACUGGUGCUCUUGCUUAUGCCAUUGGUCAAGAUUUUGAGAAGCACAUGCCUAAAUUAUUGCUGAACUAUAGUGAAUACCAACUCACCCCUGUCUCUCUUGGGGUACUAGGUAAUAUUUGUCAUGUCUUGGAGCAUCAAAUGUUGACAUCCUCUGUGAAAGUUAUGGAUGUUUUUAAAAAGGCUCUCUCAAACCCGAUGCUUGAUCGGUCUGUCAAACCGGCAAUUUUUUCAUGCUUUGGAGACCUUGCCCUUGCCAUAGGCGAGCAUUUUGACGGAUACCUGCCGACUGUUAUGGAAAUGCUUAAAGAAGAUGCCGACCUUGGUAUUGAUAAAGAGGAUGUUGGUUACCGCAACCAGCUUAGAUGGGCAAUCUGCAGGGCAUACAGUGGUAUACUAAAUGGUUUUAAGGGCCCAAAAGCUCGGCUGAUAGAACCUUAUUUAAGCUGUAUGUUGUCUUUCUUUCGAAAGGUCUGCGAUGACCCGAUCAGUGAUAAGAGUGUGGAACGCGCGGCGGUUCCUGUCAUCCAUGACUUGCAGGCCACAUUUGUGUCGCAGGCCCAGGAAAUGCUAGAUCAACUGGGCGGCUCUGAUCUCUAG